rnacentral:lncRNA from 1 species
GGGUUCUUAGCUGUGACAGGUGCUAAGUGCCUGGGCGUCAGCUCCUUGCGGGAGCGUCACUACCGACCGGGAAGGGAAAGGCAAUCUUGGGGGCCUCCGGAGUCCGGAGGAUCACUCUGAUGGGUCUCCUGGCCUCAGUGAUGGAAUUAAGAUGACUCCUAUCUCUGAAUCCAAGGGUGACUGAAAGCCACAAGCUGCAGAAAGGACAAGAGGCAUCACCUAUGUGGAUAAAGACAGCAUCCUUAGUUGAUGGAGAAAUGGCAUAGAAGGAAUUAGGUCCGUUAAUGACAUCAUGGAGCAGAGCUGUCUUCUUGCCUUGACCUGCCACCUACCUACAUGGGAAGCUGUUACUUGAGAAGGCAAUAAAAUCUAUCUUCUUCAUUGA